UACGGAGGGUGCUAGCGUUGUUCGGAAUCACUGGGCGUAAAGCGCGUGUAGGCGGCCUGUUAAGUCUGAUGUGAAAGCCCGGGGCUCACCCCCGGAAGUGCAUUGGAAACUGCCAGGCUCGAGUCCCGGAGAGGAGGGUGGAAUUCCUGGUGUAGCGGUGAAAUGCGUAGAUAUCAGGAGGAACACCUGCGGUGUAGACGGCUGGCUGGACCACUACUGACGCUGAGGCACGAAAGCGUGGGGAGCAAACAGG
rnacentral:rRNA from 1 species